UUUUUCUCAAGAAAUAAACAAAAUGGCAUCAAAAAAGGUGUUGUCUUUGAUCCUUCUCUGCACAAUCUCAGUCUCCUGUAGUAUCUGGGUGGAGGGUGCCUCCCACCGCCACGCCUCAGCCCCGGCACCCUCAGUGGACUGCACCACUCUGGUGCUGAGCAUGGCUGACUGCUUGUCGUUUGUGUCAAACGACAGCACUUCAAAAAAGCCAGAAGGGACUUGCUGUUC
rnacentral:lncRNA from 1 species